GAGAGAGAGCGUGCGCUUCUCUUACAGCGAAACACAAGAUUUCCUCCGGACCUUCAUCUGAGUGUCUCGGUUUAAUAUCAGGACGUCGUUCGCGAGUGUGAAGAAGAUGUUCGCUGGAUGAGGUGUUGGUGUGUGUUUGUGGCACGUGGACUCGACAGCCUCAUUGAAGGGGGAGAACCGCAUGAGUUUAUCUGGAUUGUGUGGAUGUGGAUUCCUUCAGUCUGCCGGGAUGCUAAAGCCUCAGACACGAGCUCUGGGAACGGGAACAUGGAUCCUAUAUCUCUGGGAUUCUGGACUUCUGGAAUAACUUCACAUGUGGAAUAAUAAACUUAAAAGGAUAAAGGACAGAAGGAAGAGGAGAAGCACAAACUCCUCAGGAGAAACUGUUAGCGUGAGAUGAAGUGGGUCCAGCCUGACUCGCAGAGAGGAAAAGAAAGGUCUUGUCACCCGAGCUGACGGAUGGAGGCCCGAUGUCUUUGCUCGGUCCCUCUUCACACACUCAAUGGCUGCUCUGUUUCAGCGUAACGACGAGCCGGUUGGAUAUAAUCUUGAGCGCUGGACUCAGGAGAUCGGGAGGGAUAGGGAAACGCUACGGUAGGCUUUGCCGGGAAGGAUCAUCUUUCUCCAGAAGUAGGAAACGAGCGUCAGAGGGUUCCUGCUGCCAGUCGGCUUUCUCCUCCUGUUACGACACGAGACCAAAUGCAAACCAUGUGUCCUCGCACCCGGUUAGCUGCUUUUGCCCACCCCUAGCAUUAGCAGUCUGAGCGGAUCCAUUUCACCAGCCAAACGAGCCUCUCCGUGGGACUCCUGGCCUAAUAGGCUGGAUCUGUCCCAUGUCCGGUCCCCGAAGAUGGCGGCUAUCCUCUGUUCGAGGGUUCAAGCUGGAGCUCAUGUUUAGGGUACUAUCUACAGUGGAUGAGUGACGGGGACAGAGGGGACUCUGGGAUUGGACAUAUAUGUGGAGAUAUGUGGAUGUAAGGCAUUGCUCUGGGUUGUGUGUGACAGACGAGGCCUGGACUGCUCUCUACUUUCUCAUGUUCCCUUCGGAUGGGUGGAUGGCUAACCUGAGGAAAACGGCAGUCAUAUUUCAUCUGUCAAUCAGCACCCAAACAGACAUCAGACUGAAAACCUUAAGAGAUACAUUAAAAAUAAUCCCAAGUGGCCAUAAAUUCCCCUAUUUGUCUCUCAGACAGAAUGUUUUCAUUUCAAACUUAAUGGACUCGAUUUCAGGAUGCUGUGAUAUUUAUUUGUGAUAUUAUUGUGGGAAAUGUAAAGGAUUUGCCUGUAACGGAGCUAGUAGUUGCUGCGCAAGUAAACCUCACUCCUCUGAUCUCAAGAGGCUGCAGUCUUCUCGUGCCGGAGACCCGGGUUCGAGGCCCGCUCGGAGCGGGUCGAGUAGGACCCGGGUGGAGGGUUUACACUCCUCAGAGUUUAAAGUGUGGUGAUGCAAUGCUGCAUAGGAUAUCGGCAUCAACAUACUCACCAAAUCGUCUCAUUCUCCUCUAUCCGUUAUGUCCUUCAAGUCACCCCCACAACAACAUCGACAACAGAAGAGAAGGCAUUCCUUUUCAAAACGGGGUGUUCAUUUCAUACUCUGGGAACAAUGGUAGCUCAUUUAAUGUGUAAAUUGAUGUAUUUGUCCAUUUGACGUACCAGCACUUUCCAGAAGUUUAUACUUUUAACGUAACAAUCUGUUUGGUUGAAAGAUCCUAAAUGAAAUUGAUUGUAGCUCUACCUGAGGAAUCGUUCACAGACAGCAUACACAGUUGGUUAACUAAUAUAGAUAUUCAUCACUGGCAAACAAAAUGAUGCAUUUGCAGAUCUGCUUUCAUUUGACAGUAGGUCCACUUCAUCCAAUGAGGAAACUGAACCAAUAAAUUAGGCAUUUCUUAACUUGUAUUGCAUUCAAAUGAAGUAAUGAGAGGAACGUUGCCCAGUGUAAUGAAGUACAAGUAUAUUUAUUUUGUUAGAAAUGGACUCAAGCCCCUGGUUCUAAGCUACAGUUAUGUAUAUAUAUAUAUUGUUGGUGUUUUGUGUUUUUCUUAUGUUUCAAAAAUGAAAGUCUUAUCAUUAAGGGCUUUCAAGGAAAAUCAGUUAUGACUGUCUUUGAACAUUGUAUAUGUAUGCCCGGUUGUACUGUAAAAUUCAUACUGUGGAAAAAAAAUAACAAUAAAGUAUAAAUGAAAAAAGAAA